ACGCUCGACACCUACGGGAGGCGGCAGUGGGGAAUAUUGCACAAUGGGGGAAACCCGUGAUGCAGCGACGCCGCGUGAGCGAAGAAGUAUUUCGGUAUGUAAAGCUCUAUCAGCAGGGAAGAAACUGACGGUACCUGACUAAGAAGCACCGGCUAAAUACGUGCCAGCAGCCGCGGUAAUCUGAGCGGGCUGGCAAGGC
rnacentral:rRNA from 1 species